UACGUAGGGAGCAAGCGUUGUCCGGAAUCAUUGGGCGUAAAGCGCGCGUAGGUGGCCCCGUAAGUCCGCUGUGAAAGUCAAAGGCUCAACCUUUGAAAGCCGGUGGAUACUGUGGGACUAGAGUACGGAAGAGGCGAGUGGAAUUCCGGGUGUAGCGGUGGAAUGCGUAGAGAUCCGGAGGAAGACCGGUGGCGAAGGCGGUCUGCUGGGCAGUUUCUGACACUGAGGCGCGACAGCGUGGGGAGCAAACAGG
rnacentral:rRNA from 1 species